UGGAGGACUGAGAAGGUUUAGCAGCUUGCUAUGUGAUGUUAUAACUGAUUAUAACCUCCUAAAUUAAAUUAAGGCAGAUGCAACAACUGGCUCCACGUGACACACGAGCUGAUGUGUUUGUGUACAGAUCUA
rnacentral:snoRNA from 1 species